UGGGGAAUAUUGCACAAUGGGCGCAAGCCUGAUGCAGCCAUGCCGCGUGUAUGAAGAAGGCCUUCGGGUUGUAAAGUACUUUCAGUCGGGAGGAAGGUGGUAAGGUUAAUAACCUUAUCAAUUGACGUUACCGACAGAAGAAGCACCGGCUAACUCCGUGCCAGCAGCCGCGGUAAUACGGAGGGUGCAAGCGUUAAUCGGAAUUACUGGGCGUAAAGCGCACGCAGGCGGUUGAUUGAGUCAGAUGUGAAAUCCCCGGGCUUAACCCGGGAAUUGCAUCUGAUACUGGUUAGCUAGAGUCUUGUAGAGGGGGGUAGAAUUCCAUGUGUAGCGGUGAAAUGCGUAGAGAUGUGGAGGAAUACCGGUGGCGAAGGCGGCCCCCUGGACAAAGACUGACGCUCAGGUGCGAAAGCGUGGGGAGCAAACAGG
rnacentral:rRNA from 1 species